GAUGAACGCUAGCGGGAGGCCUAACACAUGCAAGCCGAGCGGUAGAGUUUCUUCGGAAACUUGAGAGCGGCGCACGGGUGCGUAACACGUGUGCAACCUACCUUUAUCUGGGGGAUAGCCUUUCGAAAGGAAGAUUAAUACCCCAUAAUAUAAUGAUUGGCAUCAAUUAUUAUUGAAAACUCCGGUGGAUAGAGAUGGGCACGCGCAAGAUUAGAUAGUUGGUGAGGUAACGGCUCACCAAGUCAAUGAUCUUUAGGGGUCCUGAGAGGGAGAUCCCCCACACGGGUACUGGGACACGAACAAGAGUCCUAGGGAAGGCAGCAGGAGGGAAAAUGGGACAAUGGGUGAGAGCCGAAUCCAGCAUCCCGCGUGAAGGAUGACGGUCCUAUGGAUUGUAAACUUCUUUUGUACAGGGAUAAACCUACCCUCGUGAGGGUAGCUGAAGGUACUGUACGAAUAAGCACCGGCUAACUCCGUG
rnacentral:rRNA from 1 species